UACAGAGGUCUCAAGCGUUGUUCGGAUUUAUUGGGCGUAAAGGGUGCGCAGGCGGUGUGGUAAGUCUGGUGUGAAAUCCUGGGGCUCAACCCCAGAAUUGCACUGGAUACUGCCAUGCUAGAGGACUGGAGAGGAGAUUGGAAUUCACGGUGUAGCAGUGAAAUGCGUAGAUAUCGUGAGGAAGACCAGUGGCGAAGGCGAAUCUCUGGACAGUUCCUGACGCUCAUGCACGAAGGCCAGGGGAGCAAACGGG
rnacentral:rRNA from 2 species